GGCAUGGCUCAACUGGUAGAGCAGCCGACUUGUAAUCGGCAGGUUGUGGGUUCAAGUCCUACUGCCAG
rnacentral:tRNA from 1 species